GCCUCUUGCGUUUUGAAGAGGGCCCGGGCUGCGGCGCCAAGUUCCAUCCGCCCUCAACCACGGCCUCCUCUUCCGGCUGCUGUCCCGGCCAGCCCAUAAUAGCAAGUCGACCACAGCACACCAAAUCUUCAUGGAUAUGAGGUUCUGUUAGGCCUACCCAUUUGGCUCCCACCUUGCUUGGCCCCACGUACGUUCCUCUUUAACACCUUGUUCUAGAGCUGUGUGGCCCCACCUGCCUCCUUCAUCCCAGUGAAUUUAAUGAGGGCAGAGAUUUCUUAUUAUCAGUGCUGUCAGCAUAUGGCUGGGACCAUCAAAGGUCUUGGAUUAGCUUUAAGUGCUGGAUGGAGGAAAAACCUCGAGAUUACUAGGUGAUCUGCGAACAGACUGGCAGAAUGACAGGCAGAUGACAAAAGGGAGAGACAAAACAACAACAACAACAAACAAGAAUGGGAAGACUGUUCUUCUGGAGAGCUAGUCAAAUUGUUUCCUCAUUAAAAUGUAUUAGGAAUGAACUAAAACAUUAAUAAAUGAAAGAAAAAUUUAAACCAAGCCCUAAAUUUGACACUAUUAUAAAAGCUCACCAAAUAAAACCCUCAGCUGA